CAUAGACGUUUGCGCCGAAGAAUGUGCUCGGAUUCCCCGAGAUUACGGGGACAUUUUGAGGCGUUAACCGACCGAAGAUCAGUCCAAACACCACUGAGUUGUUUAAGUUUAUGGACACACGUCGUAAAACUGACCCAAGAGCGCAGAAAUUCUAUGACAUCGUGCCCCCUGACUGAAAAGAUCGCUUUAUAAAGGCAAUGGGAACCACAAACAUGCUUUUUGACUACAUUUAAAGCAGCAAUAAAACUUUUUAAAUGUUACUUAAAGGACGUUGUUUCAUAUUACGGCAAUAUUCAUGAGGGAUGUUUUCUUUUGGAUGUGUAUGUUGAUAUUUAACGUUGUGUUUGGUGACGCAGAUGAAGUGAAGUCAGUGUCAGUGAUGGAGGGAGAUUCUGUCACAUUUCACACGGAUCUUACUCACAUUCAGAGAUAUGAUAAGAUAGUGUGGAUAGAUGAAUCUCAAAGGGCUCUUGUGGCUCAAAUCAAUACACGAGACAAAUCAAGCUCUAUAUGUGAUGGUUAUGACCAGAGAUUCAGAGUCAAACUAAAGCUGGUAAACCAGACCGGAUCUCUCACCAUCACAAACAUCAGCAUUGCACAAUCGGGACUUUAUAAACUACAGAUCAUCGGGAACAAUGCAACUUCCAGGAGGUUCAAUGUUACUGUCUAUGGGGAGUUUUGCUCAUAGUUUUGUCGAUUCUAUGCAUCUUAAUCUGGUUCAUUAAGCCCACAAGGUCUCCCUAAAGAAUAACUUAUGAAUUAUUAUUCAAAGUUAUUGUUACGGGUUAUAAAACAUCUUUCAGGAUUAACUUUCAGUUUUUCUUUGUUUUUCCAGCUCGUCUGCCCGUUCCUGUCAUCACCAAUGACUUUCUAAACUGUUCAUCAUCAGAACCAUCUUCAAAUUGUUCCUUUCUGUGUUCAGUGAUGAAUGUGACACAUGUGAGUCUCUCCUGGUACAAAGGAAACAGUUUAUUGUCCAGCAUCAGUGUGUCUGAUCUCAACAUCAGACUCUCUCUACCUGUGGAGGUGGAAUAUCAUGAUACAAACAUAUACAGAUGUGUCAUCAACAAUCCCAUCACAAACCACACACAACAUCUCACCAACGUCUGUAAGUGUUCAGAACACCACGUUACAUUGAUAACUGCUGCAGUUGUGGUCACUGCUUUGUGUCUGCUGGGGAUCAUAGCAGGUGUCAUUCAC